rnacentral:rRNA from 1 species
GACAGAGGUGGCAAGCGUUGUCCGGAAUUACUGGGCUUAAAGGGCGCGUAGGCGGUUGUGCAAGUCUGAGGUGGAAUCUCAGGGCUUAACCCUGGGACUGCCUUGGAAACUGCAUGACUUGAGUAAGUGAGGGGAGGGCGGAAUUCCCGGUGUAGCGGUGAAAUGCGUAGAUAUCGGGAGGAAGGCCGGUGGCGAAGGCGGCCCUCUGGCACUUAACUGACGCUGAGGCGCGAAAGCGUGGGUAG